UACAGAGGUCUCAAGCGUUGUUCGGAUUCAUUGGGCGUAAAGGGUGCGUAGGUGGCGCCGUAAGUCCGCUGUGAAAGUCAAGGGCUCAACCCUUGGAUGCCGGUGGAUACUGCAGGGCUAGAGUCCGGAAGAGGCGAGUGGAAUUCCUGGUGUAGCGGUGAAAUGCGCAGAUAUCAGGAGGAACACCGAUGGCGAAGGCAGCUCGCUGGGACGGUACUGACGCUGAGGCGCGAAAGCGUGGGGAGCAAACAGG
rnacentral:rRNA from 1 species